rnacentral:rRNA from 1 species
AUUGAACGCUGGCGGCAUGCCUUACACAUGCAAGUCGAACGGCAGCACGGGAGCUUGCUCCUGGUGGCGAGUGGCGAACGGGUGAGUAAAGCAUCGGAACGUGCCCUGAAGUGGGGGAUGACGUAGCGAAAGUUACGCUAAUACCGCAUAUUCUGUGAGCAGGAAAGCAGGGGAUCUUCGGACCUUGUGCUUUAGGAGCGGCCGAUGUCGGAUUAGCUAGUUGGUGAGGUAAAGGCUCACCAAGGCGACGAUCCGUAGCGGGUCUGAGAGGAUGAUCCGCCACACUGGGACUGAGACACGGCCCAGACUCCUACGGGAGGCAGCAGUGGGGAAUUUUGGACAAUGGGCGCAAGCCUGAUCCAGCCAUGCCGCGUGAGUG